rnacentral:tRNA from 1 species
AAAAAGAUAAGCUAAAAAAGCUAAUGGGUUCAUACCCCAUUCAUGAUUAAAAUCUCUUUUUA